rnacentral:rRNA from 1 species
GAUGAACGCUGGCGGCAUGCCUAACACAUGCAAGUCGAUCGGUAAGGCUCUUCGGAGUACACGAGAGGCGGACGGCUGAGUAACGCGUAGGAACACACCCUGCAGUGAGGGAUAAGACACCGAAAGGUGUUCUAAUACCGCAUACGGUCUUCGGAUUAAAGCAUUUAUGCGCUGAAGGAGUGGCCUGCGUCAUAUUAGAUAGUUGGUGAGGUAAUGGCUCACCAAGUCGAUGAUGUGUAGCUGGUCUGAGAGGAUGAUCAGCCAGACUGGAACUGAGACACGGUCCAGACUCCUACGGGAGGCAGCAGUGAGGAAUAUUUCACAAUGAGCGAAAGCUUGAUGGAGCAAUGCCGCGUGCAGGAUGAAGGCCCUCAGGUUGUAAACUGCUUUUAUAAGAGAAGAUUAUGACGGUAACUUAUGAAUAAGGGACGGCUAACUACGUG